GCGGAAGUCGUGCCGGGUUCAACGCUGCUGCAGCGCCGCCGGGCAGCCCCGGGGCUCCGAGCGCCGCUUCAGCUUCUCCGAAAGCCCCACGUCUACCCCUGGAGUCAUGCAGAAGGAUCUGGAUAUGUCCUGGAGGGAUUUGUGGGAGGCCAGGGAGCUCUGGACUCAUCCAGAAGAGUCUGGAGAUGUCUCAGAGGAGUCUUGGGGCAUUCAGGGCGUCCUCAUGUGGGUCUGGAGGGUUCUGGAUUCCUCGGUUGGGUCUGGAGAUGUCCCGGAGGUGUCUUGGGGAGACCAGGGGGUCCUGGAGUCUUCCAGGAGUCUCAAAAACUGACAGUUCCCACCAAAAAAAGCCCCCCUACAGCCACCAGGUGAUGCUGGGACUACCGCAGGCCUGCCUCCAGCCGGACCUGGUAACACUGGAGCUCUCUGGCGCUGCCACCAUUAUGUGCCUCCAGGAUGGGGACGUGGUGGUGUACUCUGCUGCCACCAGAGGGGACCGUGUGUGACAUCAGUGCGGAACAGCUGUCAUCGCUGUUGGGUGUUGCUUUUGUCAACAUGCAUGGGGUGUCACCGCUGGGACACCUCUGUGUCACCCCUACGGUGUCGCACCCCAAAGUUGGAGGCACCCCUCUGCAGAUCCCCUGGUGUCCGUCCUUCUGACCGCAUUGUUCCCAUGCGGGGGUGGGUAGAGUUGAGGGGCACACACUUUAUUUUGUAAAUAAGAUUUAUUUUGUGAUAACGGUGGACUGGGAGGCGCCGCCCCCCCAGA
rnacentral:lncRNA from 1 species